UACGAGGGGGGCAAGCGUUGUUCGGAGUUACUGGGCGUAAAGGGUGCGUAGGCGGCUUUUUAAGUUUGGUGUGAAAUCUCCCGGCUCAACUGGGAGGGUGCGCCGAAUACUGAGAGGCUAGAGUGUGGGAGAGGAAAGUGGAAUUCCUGGUGUAGAGGUGAAAUUCGUAGAUAUCGAGAGGAACACCGGCGGCGAAGGCGGCCAACUGGACGAACACUGACGCUGAGACACGAAAGCGUGGGGAGCAAACAGG
rnacentral:rRNA from 1 species